GCUGAGUCACCGAAGACCACCACAGACAGAGAGAGAGAGAAGGUGCAGGCAUAUGCACUCAGCCAACAGAACGCUCAUGAUGGAUAUCUGAAUUCUGGGAACUACGUUGCCUGUUGCGCCAAGCCACUGACGCUAGGACUAUGCGCUAUAGAUGCACUGCAGAUGUUCCUCUCAGGUUGAAGAUGGGGUGGAAAAAUGCAAAUCACUUCCCACACUGUCAUUAUCUUCUUCCCUGUUGAUAUUAUUAAAG